rnacentral:rRNA from 1 species
UGGGGAAUAUUGCACAAUGGGCGCAAGCCUGAUGCAGCCAUGCCGCGUGUGUGAAGAAGGCCUUCGGGUUGUAAAGCACUUUCAGCGAGGAGGAAGGUGGUGAGCUUAAUACGCUCAUCAAUUGACGUUACUCGCAGAAGAAGCACCGGCUAACUCCGUGCCAGCAGCCGCGGUAAUACGGAGGGUGCAAGCGUUAAUCGGAAUUACUGGGCGUAAAGCGCACGCAGGCGGUUUGUUAAGUCAGAUGUGAAAUCCCCGGGCUCAACCUGGGAACUGCAUUUGAAACUGGCAAGCUAGAGUCUCGUAGAGGGGGGUAGAAUUCCAGGUGUAGCGGUGAAAUGCGUAGAGAUCUGGAGGAAUACCGGUGGCGAAGGCGGCCCCCCUGGACGAAGACUGACGCUCAGGUGCGAAAGCGUGGGGCAGCAAACAGGAUUAGAUACCCUGGUAGUCCAGCGCUGUAAACGAUGUCGAUUUGGAGGUUGUGCCCUUGAGGCGUGGCUUCCGGAGCUAACGCGUUAAAUCGACCGCCUGGGGAGUACGGCCGCAAGGUUAAAACUUAAAUGAAUUGACGGGGUC